rnacentral:lncRNA from 1 species
CCUUUGAGCAACAACAACAAAAACAUUCAUUUGUAGAUCCAUCCUGUAUGAGAUGCAAAGAUAAUCAGAAAUAUUCGACAUUACGGAAAGUUGAAAAUGCCACAUUCAGAAGAACAAAAUUCAGAGUCACAUACAGUGCUGCAUGGUCAUACCUCCAAAAUUUAUGGGGAAGAUAAUUUAACCCCAAGAGUUCAUUUCCAGAAAAACAUCCCAAGUCUCUGAGAUGGACAGUGAGGUGACUGAUGCUGCAGGUCCCUGCGCCCGAGCAAGUUCUAGUUUAUGCAUGCGCCCAUGACAGGAACAAGGAUUGAGGACCACAUAUUCCACGCGUGGCACACAUUCCCCACGGCACCAGCACUGCCCCUGGCGGCUGCAUUCUGCCUCGUGGGAGUGAGAAGAAUCUGCACCGUCUCCGCGUUUGUUACGCACGGAGGUGUCCAGCGUGCUCAGGUUUAGGAAGAACUGAUCACUGAACACUCGGUAGCAAGUAUGGCAGAUGACGGCGCAAAGAGAGCCAGAGCUGUGUAGAAGGCUUGGGAAAGGAGCGGCGGCUUCUCAGCACCCUGUGCACAGAGAUAGUAUUUAAAGAAGACAACGACUUUCUGUUAGCAGUAACAUAGCAGGGGGAUUGGAAACGUGUAUAUAAAGAAACCUGAACCAAAUGCAGGACCCUUUCAGUAGAGUCUGAACACAGCAGACAAGUUUGGGCCUAAUGAGACAGACCCUGUUACUUUCUUAGUGAGCUUGCUUAGGCGGUCUUAUCAAUUCCUGGGCUUAAUGUUUUCCUGCUGACAGUUUGGACCAGGUCAUUCUCUGUCUGAGGGAUUGUACUUUUCAGAGCAGGUUGUGUAGCUGAGUCUCGGGCCUCUGUCCCCUGGAUGUUGGAGCUACUCCCAGUCUGGCAAAUUCAUGCAGCGAAUUUCUAGUGGUAGAAACUUGAGAGGUAAAGAACAGCUCUCGGAGGGUUAACUGGCACUGUAGACAUUUUCAUUAAAAUGGAAUAGAAUGGGAAAAAUAAAGUAACAUAAUAACUUUGAUCACAACUGAAUAUAAUCU